CCCCCCCCCAAAAUUGGGGGGGGUGGGGGCACACGGGGAGAUUGGCGAAGUCGGGGUUGAGACCUGAGCCAACUGCCCGUGCUUACCGUGGGGAGCGAGUGACCGAGCAAGUACCGUGUUAUGCGGGGAUGCGCACUGUCGUCAGUGUGCAGCUACAGGCCGGUGCGCUCGGUGCAAGCUUCCCACAGUUGCCGUGCUAGAGUUGGCAGUCAGCCAGGAAGAAGUGUGCCGGCUCAGCGUUCCUGGUCUCCAGUGCGUCUCUUCGGCCCAGGUUAUCCUGCGCCAGCUCUACGCAUGGUACCCCCCGUUCACCAGCACAAACCAGUUCGUCCUGUGCCAGCACUCCGCCCUUGCUGGGCUAAAGUAAACAUCCAGCCAGGACGGGGUGUGCCAGCCCUAAGCUCCAGACCUCCAGUGCGCCUCGACGGCCCAGUAUACCCUGUGCCUGCUCUGCGCACCCAGUCUCCUGUGCGUCUCCCCAGUCUGGUGAGACCGGUUCCAGCUCUACGUAGGAAGCCUCCAGUGAUGAUCUAUGGUCCGAAGCCUCCAGUGAUGAUCCAUGGCAUGAAGCCUGUAGUGAUGAUCCAUGGCACGAGGCCUCCAGUGAUAAUCCAUGUUUCGGAGCCUGCAGGGAUAAUCCAUGGCAAGAAGCCUGUAGGGAUGAUCCAUGGCCCGGAGCCUGUAGAGAUGAUCCAUGGCACGAAGCCUCCAAUGAUGAUCCAUGGCCCGGAGCCUGUAGUGAUGAUCCAUGGCAUGAAGCCUCCAGUGAUGAUCCAUGGCACAAAGCCUCCAGUGAUGAUCUAUGGCGCGGAACCUGUAGUGAUGAUCCAUGGCACGGAGCCUGCAGCGACGGUCCCCAGUCCGGAACCUACAGCGGCGCUCUCCAGUCCGGAGCCUCUAGCGAAGCUCCCCAGUCCGGAGCCUCCAGUGACGCUCCCCAGUCCGGAGCCUCCAGCGACGCUCCCCAGUCCGGAACCUCCUGAGACGGCCUGCAGACCAGAGUCUUCAGCGGCGGUCGGCAGUUCGGAGCCUCCGGCGAUGAUCCACGGUCUG
rnacentral:lncRNA from 8 species